rnacentral:rRNA from 1 species
AGUGAACGCUGGCGGCAGGCCUAACACAUGCAAGUCGAACGGCAGCACAGUAAGAGCUUGCUCUUACGGGUGGCGAGUGGCGGACGGGUGAGGAAUACAUCGGAAUCUACUUUUUCGUGGGGGAUAACGUAGGGAAACUUACGCUAAUACCGCAUACGAUCUACGGGUGAAAGCAGGGGAUCUUCGGACCUUGCGCGACUGAAUUAGCCGAUGUCGGAUUAGCUAGUUGGCGGGGUAAAGGCCCACCAAGGCGACGAUCCGUAGCUGGUCUGAGAGGAUGAUCAGCCACACUGGAACUGAGACACGGUCCAGACUCCUACGGGAGGCAGCAGUGGGGAAUAUUGGGCAAUGGGCGCAAGCCUGAUCCAGCCAUGCCGCGUGAGUGAAGAAGGCCUUCGGGUUGUAAAGCCCUUUUGUUGGGAAAGAAAAGCAGCAGGUGAAUACCCCGCUGUUCUGACGGUACCCAAAGAAUAAGCACCGGCUAACUUCGUG